CGGGUCGGCGGGCGGGCGGGCGCGCGCGUGGCCCUGCUUGGGGGCGGGCCUUGCCCAGCCCCGCGUGCCGUGCGCUCGCGGGCCUAGCGCCAACCGCGGCCUCCCCUCCCCCCCUCCGCAAUGGGUGGUGCCGGCGGGAGCAUUGUGCGCAGCGCGCGCUCCGGCCCGGCCGGCCGGCGGUGACUGGUGCUGAGGGGAGCCCGGCCCGGCCCGGCCCGGCGCGGCGCGAGCAGGUAAUGCUAAUAUAGGGGAGUUCAUCUGACCUCAGAUCAUGCUUCUCUGCACCUCCUCACAUCAGAGAACGGUGGCCAUUGGGGCCUCCUUCAUCGCAACACAGGAGUAUUGCUUCCAGACCCAUCCAUCCCCUAGGGAAUGCAUUUCUCCAUUCCUCUCUCAGCUGCAUGUGUUUCAAGGAUCACAGGAUCUUCUCCUUCCCAGAGGCUAGCGAAGAUUAGAA